rfam:Micromonospora sp. HK10 genomic scaffold Scaffold53, whole genome shotgun sequence.
UGCGAGCUGGUGCAACAGGCAGCACGUCCCGCUCUGGACGGGAAGGUUCGAGGUUCGAGUCCUCGGCUCGCAG